rnacentral:rRNA from 1 species
GCCACUGCUAUUGGGGUUCGGCUAAGCCAUGCGAGUGGAGGGCGUCCCGCAAGGGAUGGCCCCGCGGACGGCUCAGUAACACGUCGUCAACCCACCUUAGGGUGGGGGACAACCUCGGGAAACUGGGGAUAAUCCCCCAUAGGCGGGGGAGGCUGGAAUGCGCCCCCGCUGAAAGCUCAGGCGCCCUAGGACGGGACGGCGGCCUAUCAGGUAGUUGGUGGUGUGAC